rnacentral:rRNA from 1 species
GUGGGGAAUCUUAGACAAUGGGCGCAAGCCUGAUCUAGCCAUGCCGCGUGAGCGAUGAAGGCCUUAGGGUUGUAAAGCUCUUUCAGUGGGGAAGAUAAUGACUGUACCCACAGAAGAAGCCCCGGCUAACUCCGUGCCAGCAGCCGCGGUAAUACGGAGGGGGCUAGCGUUGUUCGGAAUUACUGGGCGUAAAGCGCACGUAGGCGGACUGGAAAGUCAGGGGUGAAAUCCCGGGGCUCAACCCCGGAACUGCCUUUGGAACUCCCAGUCUUGAGGUCGAGAGAGGUGAGUGGAAUUCCGAGUGUAGAGGUGAAAUUCGUAGAUAUUCGGAGGAACACCAGUGGCGAAGGCGGCCCACUGGCUCGAUACUGACGCUGAGGUGCGAAAGCGUGGGGAGCAAACAGGAUUAGAAACCCGUGUAGUCC